UUGUGAAGCUCUCCGUCUAAAAUAAAUACAACAGAGUCAAAGGCCAAUGUAUCACUUAACAGGAGAGCUAAAAAAGAAAAAAUAAAAGAUCAUAUAUGUUGGCAGUGUAGGUCAUGUUUUUCAUAUAAAAAAGGAUGGUUGUUUUUUUUUUUAUGGUAUGAAUUAUUGAAUCACAUUUUGUAUGGUUUUCAAAAUGUAAUAUUUUUUUAAUAAUUUGUGCUGAUGGAUAGAGGAAAAAGAUUAGAAAACUUUGAUAAUUAUACAAUUGUGAUUCCUCGAUGGACGUGGUGAGAGA
rnacentral:lncRNA from 1 species